UGUCUCCCACCCCAUCCGAGAACUUAGACUGUACUGACAGAAGUCACUGGCUACACAGGGACCCGUGUUCAUCCCAAAGUGAGGACAGCAGCUGGGUCUCAAGGCCUCUUUAUUACACGAGAUGCUAAUGGGACUCAUUAAAAGCUUCUCAUUACCCAGCUAAUUACAGGGCUGUGUGGGCAAAGAACAUGGGCCAGAACCCAGGGUUGGGAGCAUUUGGUAGGAUGAGGAGAGAAGUGGGAAGCUGUUUACAUGCAAAUGGCAUGACUGGUUCAUUCCUGUGAGGAGCCCAGGUGCUGUUCCUAAUUGGUUCCAUCCAUCUCCCUCCUCCUCCUCUCCUAACCCCACCAAUCUGGAGCUGAAGGCCCAAGCUGGGCAGGCUGGAGGGAGUUGGGUGUGUAAGAGGAGGAGGUGUUAAGCCAAGAGCUGAGGACUAAAAGCCUCCUGGGUCCAAUCUCUGCAUCCACCCCUCUCCCCCACCAACCCACCCAUCCCUGCUCCCAAGCCCUGGCACCAGGGAAGCAGGGCUUCAGCAAAGGUACACCAUAAAUAAUGUCCUUUGAUGAUGCAGCAUCUCAAAGAGGAUGGCAGGAGCCAAGGAUGGUGGGGGAGCCGGGGCGGGGGGUGCGGGGAACAAGGGGAUGGCAGGGAGAGUUGAUCACCCCUUGAUCUCUGGGAUUAGCAAAGACUUGAAAGAGCUAAUGCUAGGCUAUGUUGGAGAGGUGAUGAGAGAGGGAGGUAUUGGAGGGCUAGGACAGCCUGGGCUUCAUUUUGCCUACAAAUCAUAUGGAAAUGACAUGUAAAGUGGGUGUUGCAGCUAUAGAGUCCCCAAGUGUUUUUUCUUGAACACCCACCCUUUAUUUGAGCCACAUCUCAGAUGAUGUCCCUGGCCUAGAGGAGCAGGGUACUUGGAGUCCAGGGUCCUUAGCAGCUCCUCCCCUGCAACUUCCCCUCUUUGCUGCUAUGAUGGGUUAGGGAUGAGGCCAGGAAAAGGUGUGUACAGUUGUGCUGUGUUGAGACAGGUUAGUCAGCAAUUCACUGAGGGCCAGAGGUGGAAGCAGACCCUCUAGCUUGUACACACAAGAUGGCCUGAAUAUAUCCACCACAUGCACAACUUGUGGACUCUCGCAAAAUCCCAGAGGGGUACUGGCAAGGGGAGAGCAGGGCUAGGGUCAUAUGUGACACUGGGUGGAGAUGCCAAUGAAGAGUGGAAGGAUGACAGCAUUCUAUGUCCUGCCAUGUCCUGCAGCCAGGAGACAACUGGAGAAAACCCCACAGAGCAAGGAACAAGAGGCCCUCAGAGCCUGAGGAAGAAAAAUGGACUAAGCCAGGAGGACUGAGCUAGAGCUGGUUUAAGCUGUGAGAUGCUAGAAUGGCUCCUCAUGGGGUUAGGGGAAUCCAGGAUGGCUUGUGCCCCUCAGAGGCUGAAACAACCCAGACUCUCAGAGCGCUGAACUGGCUGAAGGGAGAGGGCUGGGAGAGAAGAGGCAGGGCUGGGGAGGGGAGGACUGGUAGCAGAACUCCAGCUUCUCCCACAGUGAUGGAGCCAAUUCCAACCCUGUAACACAGGUGGGGAAACUGAGUCCCUAUUUGUUUCAGGGGAUGAAAACACACACUCCUAGGCUCCAGAAAAGAGAGGCAGAGACAGGAAAGAAGAGGAGGAAGAGAGUGACAGAAGAGUAAAGGAGGAGGGGAGUGCCUGCCCUUCCUUGAACUCCAGUCCAUCUACAUGAUGGGCACAGUGAGGACAGGGGUGAGGGCCCUAGCCCUUCCCCUCUCCCAUCACCCCCAGCCCAGGGAGCUGACAGUGCCUUCAGCCCUGUGAAGGGAAAUGCAGGAUAGGGAGCGGCAGCUGCAUGUUCUCCUGAAAUUGCUUCUGAAAAUGACCAGACACUUCACUGGGAAAGUGACGACAAUUUGGGCCCUGGGAGCAGGAGAUGAGAUGGAGAGCGGGGGCGAUGAGGCGCAGGUCACCACCCCACUCUCGGCCAGAUAGGCUCUUCUCGGCCUGAUUCUGAGAAGUCAAGGAUGGGGGGAGCUGUUGGGGGCGGGAGAAGGCUGGCCAGAGCCUGAGCUACCCCUAUUCUGAACAGAGCCACCCUCCUCCCAAACAAGGCAGGCUCUAGCCCCUCACCCGCCUGAAAACAGAUGAUUCCCCAGGUUCUAUCUCAGCUCAAAGCAGGGUGUGCCAGAAGCACGUGGCUUGUGCUCAGACAGCAGAUUAAUCUGCAGGCAGGAAGAGAAGUUAAUCAGUUCUCCCUGGCCAGCAUGAUAGCCGGCCGUGAGCUGCCUGCAGAUGGAAGUCAGGUGGAGGGAGACCCCAGCCCCAAGGCAUAGCAAACUGGCACCCAGAUCCUGCCACUUCAAAGGAGGAAGUUAACCCACAGUGAGAAGCAAGGGGUGGAGCUGAAGAGAUGGAAGGGAGUCACCUCUUGGAUCUUUUUCAGCAAGAGGUGCAGGCUUGAGGCCGGGAGGGUUCUAAACAAUAAAAAUAAACAAGCAACCCUUCCAUCCUACGCAGGUGCCUCUGGACGGUGAAGGUAAGGGGAGAAGGGUAAGCGCAUAUCUCCUGCCUGCCCCCAGCCUCAACUCUUGGCGUGGGUUGCUCAUUCAUUGUUUGAACACCAAACACCAAUAAAGUGGCAGGUAGCAUGUUCCCUGACCCUGACACCUCUUCUGAAAAGUUUUCUCUGAUGCUGAGGGCCUGAGCCAAAUGGCUGUCUUGCAUUCCCCACUGGUGAAUCUAUAUCCCAGCCCAUAUCAUAUGGGCUAGGUUUUGUUUUUUU
rnacentral:lncRNA from 1 species